UCACUGCAGGUCCUGAUGUGUUCUUGUAUGUCUAUCGUUGUGAGGACCAGACCUUGGCAGUAGACCAACGUUGUGCGGACAGUUGGCAUUGCGAGGACAUUUUCCAAAUUAGGUUGGAUUUGUUUUCCUCUUUUUCCAAAAGAAGGGACUGAGAUCAUCUCAUCCAGACAGCUUUUUAGGCCUGAAAUGCCUUCUUUAGUCCAUUAGCCCACCUGUUAAAGGGGAACACUGUAAAGUGAUGGGCAGAAAUGGACAGAAAAGUACUGAAAAUUAAUCCAAAGUCCAAAGUAAAACCUUGAAAGACAUUUGGAAAGCCCAGAGAGCUACUGACCACUGGUCAUCUUAUCUUACACAAACAUCUGGGUCACCAUUAGAGAAACAG